rnacentral:rRNA from 1 species
UACGUAGGGUGCGAGCGUUGUCCGGAAUUAUUGGGCGUAAAGAGCUCGUAGGUGGUUUGUCGCGUUGUCCGUGAAAACUCACAACUCAAUUGUGGGCGUGCGGGCGAUACGGGCAGACUGGAGUACUGCAGGGGGAGACUGGAAUUCCUGGUGUAGCGGUGGAAUGCGCAGAUAUCAGGAGGAACACCAGUGGCGAAGGCGACUUCCUGGCCUGUUCUUGACGCUGAGGCGCGAAAAGCUAGGGUAGCAAACGGGG